UAGCUGGAGAUGGUGUUAAUGUUGGGUGGUAAUGCAAUUGUGAUUUCAGCCAGAGUACAUCCCAAUUUGUACUAGUAGAGCGCCCUCUCUUUCACCCUUCAUCGUUUCUUCUUCCGUUACGUACCGUAGCUACCACCACCUACGAUUAUUUCCCUUUUCUCCCUCUCUAUCCCUUUCUCUUUCGCUCUCUCUUCUUCUUUCGAUCUUCCACCGCCUCGCACCUUUUCAAUCUCCAAAUUAGGGUUUUCAGGUUCCUAUAUUUCGCUUCCAUGUUCCGCGCUUAGAUUCGCCAACGCCUCGCAGAUCUACACACCUUCUCCUUCGCUCUUCCUUUAUCUUCUCCCACAUGUUCUGGAAGCUCGCCUCUAUCUCCUCCUCUCCUGUGGAGGUAAUAUUGGACAAGGAGAACUUCACUUUGGAAGAACUUCUGGAUGAGGAGGAAAUAAUCCAAGAAUGCAAGGCCUUAAACAGUCGACUCAUCAACUUUCUGAGAGAUAGAACUCAGGUGGAGCAAAUGCUACGCUACAUCAUUGAAGAACCACCGGAGGAUGCCGAAAACAAACGGGUCUUCAAGUUCCCAUUCAUUGCCUGUGAGAUCUUUACGUGUGAAAUUGAUGUAAUUUUGAAGACCUUGGUGGAUGAAGAAGAGCUCAUGAACUUAUUAUUUUCCUUCUUGGCACCUGAUCGUUGUCAUAGUACCUUGCUGGCUGGUUACUUUAGCAAGGUCGUUAUUUGUCUAAUGAUACGAAAGACAGUACCGCUUAUGAAUUAUGUUCAAGCCCAUCAGCAUGUUUUCCGCCAACUUGUAGAUUUGAUAGGCAUUACAUCUAUUAUGGAGGUUUUGGUUCGAUUAGUAGGUGCUGAUGACCAUGUAUAUCCCAAUUUUAUAGAUGUGAUGAAAUGGUUGGCUGAGAGCAAUCUACUUGAGAUGAUUGUUGAUAAAUUAAGUCCAGCUAGUCCUCCCGAAGUUCAUGUCAAUGUUGCUGAAACUUUGUGUACCAUAACUCGAGUUGCAUCAUCUUCUACUCUAGCAAUGAAGCUUUCAAGUCCAAGUUUUGUUGCAAAAAUUUUGGGUUAUGCAUUGGAGGAUUCACAUUCGAAGUCUAGCCUUGUCAACUCACUUUCAGUGUGUAUUUCUUUGUUGGAUCCCAAAAGAUCAGCUAUUCCAUCUCCGUUUUUUCAUUCAUUCCGAAGUCAAAACAUGUAUGAACCACCAAUUCCUGUAAACCCAGAUACCAUUGGUGCAAUGCUACCUAAACUUGGUGAACUGCUUGUGCUUUUGGACGUGUCAUCCGACAAUAAAGUAUUACCUACAACGUAUGGUGAAUUGAGACCUCCACUUGGCAAGCAUCGAUUAAAGAUUGUGGAGUUUAUUGCUGUACUUUUGAAAACUGGAAAUGAAGUGGCAGAAAAAGAAUUGGCAAACUCAGGAACCAUUCGACGAGUCAUUGAUCUUUUCUUUGAGUAUCCAUACAAUAACUCAUUACACCAUCACAUAGAAAGCAUCAUAUCAUCAUGUCUGGAGAGCAAAUCUAAUGCCAUCAUUGAUCAUGUGCUCCGAGAUUGUGAUUUAGUUGGAAGGUUUAUCCAAGCAGAUAAAAAUUCUAUUCUUUCUGCUGAAAGCAAUCAGCCCACGGUACCUGCUACAGGAAAACGGGGAACACGAAUAGGAAACAUUGGACAUAUUACUCGAAUUUUCAACAAACUUGUUCACUUGGCCCAUAACCAAAGCCACAUUGUGAAAUGUCUCCAGGAGAAUAGUGAGUGGAAUGAGUGGCAAUCUACUGUUCUUCAGCAGCGUAAUGUGGUUGAGAAUGUUCACCGUUGGGCUUGUGGACGCCCAACUGCAUUACAAGAUAGAAUGAGGGAUAGUGAUGAUGAAGACCUUCAUGACAGAGACUAUGAUGUUGCAGCUUUAGCAAAUAAUUUGAGCCAGGCUUUUAGAUACAAAAUUUAUGGAAAUGAAGAUAAUGAAGAGGAACAUGGUGUUCUUGAUCGAGAUGACGAGGAUGUCUACUUUGACGAUGAUUCUGCUGAAGUAGUCAUAUCAUCCCUAAGACUUGGUGAUGAUCAAGGGAGUAACCUGUUUACAAACUCCAACUGGUUUGCGUUCCAAGAUGACAGAAUUGGUGAUGCACCUGGGGGCACAUCAUCCUCUGAGAUGAUGGAUGAGAUAAAAUUGAACUCAGCUUCAAAUGGUGGUAGCAACAGUAGUGAUGACGAGGUAGUGGUUGGAGAGGAUGAAGAAUUGGCUGACAGCAAAAACACUGUGAAUGGUAUAUCUAGCUCAAGCACGGACUUCUUUAGUGGAUUAACUGGUAGUGAUUCCAUGAAUGGCACCUUAGACUUUGAAAGUGAGAAAACAAGUCCUUCACAUAAUAUGGGAUUCUUCAGGUUUGAGGCACCAGACAAUGAGGACUUGUUUGGCGAUAGAUCUUUACCUGAUUGGGUGGGAUGGGGUGAACCAUCAGAUAUGCAAAAUUCUGGCUCAAGUAGGAAUCCCUUUCUGGAUCAUGACGAGUCUGGUAGUAAUUUUCCUAUCAAGCCUCAGGUAGACAGUCUUGUUCUGAAUUCUCCUUCAAAUGGGGAAUCUGUACCUUCUUCGAAUGGAUCGCCAACGACUACUACAGAUUCAAUUAAUGGGAGCAUUGACUCCAGUCCAACAACAGUAGCGGUACCCUCGCUAUUUGAAGAGGAUGUGGAAUUUGUAGGAGUGGAAUUAGAUGGUACCGAGAAGGCAAUGGAACAGGCUUUAAAAGAAGGCACAGUUGGCGAAGCCGGACCAUUGAAAAGAAACGCAGUGUCAAAGGUUCCAGAAAAGGAAAAUUCUGAAGAAGAUGGCAGUCAUGCUGUGAAGGACUUCAACGAUGCAAAUUACUGGAGGGUCGACAAAGAGGUUGCUGUUCUAGAGUGAUGAGCAGAGUGGGAAUUCCCACAUUUAUUGAAUAUUCAAUCUGGUCUUCUCUCUCUGUUCUGUUUUUGCGGCUACCAAUAAAGGGACGCACGGGUCACUCUGCCAGGCUUUAUUUUUCAGUCUGGUAUGAACUAUUUCAAGAUUUCGGUUCAUUUUGGUAAAAAGUGUAUCGUAUUUAUAACUAACAUUCUAUGUAAAUGUUACUUUUAUACAAUUGUGUUCUUUAAUUAGUACGACGAUAUGGUCACAGAUAAUGUUGUCUUUUGAGAUCAAUGUAUAGCUUGGAGCAAUUGCUUUUA